rnacentral:lncRNA from 1 species
UUAAAUGAAAUGAAUGGAAGAAAGGCGAGUAGAAGUGCAGACUUUUCUCUCUUCUCAUGGCUUAAGCUUCCUGUUAGCAGCCACGUCCACGUUUCCUUCCUAUAAAACCUUUACAAUCAAUCCCCUUUCUCCCACAACUCUCAGAUUACAUCUUCUUCCCCUCACUCAAUCAUAAGUUAACAACAAUGGAGGCAAUGAAGAUGAUGAAGCUUUUCUCACUAAUGAUGAUGAUGAUGACAAUGGCUGUUUCAGUUGUCUCCGCCGCUGACGAAGUUCCUGCUCCAGCUCCAAUGUUGUCCGACGCCACCACAGUUUUCAUCCCCACCGCCGUGGCCUCUCUUUCUGCACUAGCUUUUGCUUUCCUCUUCUAAUUUCUGGUUCAGUAUAUGCUUCUAUCGAUAUUCGAUACUAUUAAUAUUUAAUUUCUCUUUAUGAUAUUACGUAAUAAUUUUGGGGGUUGUUAUCUGAUUCAAACCCCUUUGUGUUCUAUGUUUUGAAUCUGAAAUUUAAUAAGAUUCAUAUGUUGUAUUAAAUGAUAUUCCUGUAAUAUAUCUACCAUAAAUGAUUUUAUCAAAUAAGACCUAUGCUUAUUUAAAAUUGUAUUGCUUCUAAAAAAAGUCUCAUACCAACGUUUUAAUAUUUCUUGCAAUAUCACGCCAUUCACCAAAUAUAAGAUUUUUUAUGCGUUUUCUUUCGCUAUUAUACAAUAAGUCAAUAAGGGAACAUAAUUAGUCUCUCAUGCUAAUAAGUUUUAAAAAUUAGUAAAAAACGUAAGUGAAUAAAAUUGCAACAAUUAAUACAUAUGAACAUAAUAUAUAUAAAUUAUAAUAAAAAAUACAAUUUUUUGGAACGACGGAAACACGUAAGCAAAUAACUUCAGCAGCGAACUAUCUCACCUCCUGUUAGGCCGCCCGAUAUACUCUCAACGGAGAGCCUUCGUUGCCACCUGGAACCACCACCACAGUGUGGACCCCGUCUGCUCCAUGGUACAACGAUCGUGGUCAAUCGUUGUCUCUACCACAAACCACCACGACCAAUCAGGUCUUUCUUCUUCUAUCUUCCUCUCUUCUUUUCUCUUAUGCGGUCUUUCUUCUUCUAUCUUCCUCUCUCUUCUUUUCUCUCAUGCAAGUAUCUUUUUUCACCGUGCAGAGUAUAUCAGGUUCAAUGUGGAAGGAAGGUGGAUGGAGAUGGUGGUGACGUGGAGGAGGAUGUAUAUCGUGGUCAUUGCCGAUUUAACGGAUGAUCUUAUAAUAAAAGAAUAGCUUUAUUCCUAUUUUGUUAUAUGUCACUCUAUUAGGCCUCCUAAUUAAUGUCCUGUAACUUGUCAAUCUAUUGAUUCUCAUUUUCAAAUUUCAAGUUUAAAUUUUUCACUCU